AUGGACAAGUACCCUACUCCCAUCCAUGCGAGAGUCCUACUGCAGGCUCUACUUCUUCUUCUCAUAUGUCAUGCAACUACAACACAAUCUAAGCGGGGGAUACGAAAUAGUCGAAUCAUCGAUGGCAUCGAUAAGGAUAAGAUCAACUUACACGGGUUGUGCGUUAUAGACAAACCAGUCCUUGGUGACUACUGUUGCAAAGUGACGAAUCAGUGUUACAUAGACCUUCCGUCAUGCCUUGCUGAGUGCAACAAACCUGCAGGCAUGGUGGCGAUGGAAACCCCUCCUUCACCUACCCUAUUCCCAUCAAAUUGA
rnacentral:rRNA from 1 species